CCGACACUGUGCAGAGAGAGGAAGUGCAGGUCAGGAGGACAAAUGCAUAUGGUGUAUGACAAGCCCUCUAUAAGCGGUCCCUUAGAAAGGAUGCUCCUCCCACUAGGCAUCGAGCAGUUCUUCAAGCUGCUACUUUUGCCUGGCAAACUCCCCAGAAUCCGGCUUAAUCUUAACACGGGAAACCUUUUCUUACUGUUUCUGGCCUAUGGGGUACUGAUUCUCUUCUGGACCCUGUAACACCCGGCACCUCCCGUGACACGGAGGGACUCGUGAGACUCUUUCUGCAUUUGGAGCAGACCUGGGACCCUUCCUUCUGACAGGGUAGAAACUUGGAAAUGCCAGCAGGGAAAGGAAACAUCAGACCCCCCAUGAAGCUCCCGAGAGAGGAACUGGUGUACUCGAGCCUCUGCUCGCCAGUCUUGCUGUAGCAGAUCCUGACUCCCUUCAAAUCCCCGUGGUCAAGUUUCUCUUCCAGAACUUUCCUCCCACCCACAGAGGGUGGGUGCUGUUCAUCUUUCAACGCUGGAACCCCCAUUGCUACGUACUCAGGGCCGUUCACCCUGUCUCAGUCCCUCCAGCCCUGCUCCUACAGAGGUGAUCCUGUCUGUUUCUGCCGUUCGUUUCCAGAUUUUAUGGAGCUUGGCUUGGUCACCCAGACUUGCACACUGUCCCCCGAAGCCAUCACUUUUCCUGGCCUUGGCCCAUUCUUGUUUGCUCGUCUGUAUCACCAGGCCUGGUGUUGCAAGCUUUCUUAUCUUUUAA